AACGCACAUUGCACCAUUGGGUAUUCCCAAUGGUAUGCUUGUUUGAGCGAAUACUUCCCUAAUCCUCACGGAUUGUAUUGUGUUUGCACGAAAAUAAUGACGACAGUACUCUACAAAACGGUACCGUCAGUACACUCAUUUUUUUUCCUCAAAUCAAGUAGGACUACCCGCUGAACUUAA
rnacentral:misc_RNA from 2 species